GCUGGGAAGGCGUGUUAAUGAUGUGCUCUUGCGCAGAUAAAACCGGCUGCGAGCGCCCUGCAGAAAUAUCAACUCCAUCCUCGCAUUAGCAGCUGUGGGACUGAGUGCAGUGCUGUUUUCCACCAUUGGCAAGGCCAGGGAAAGGAGGAAGACAACAGGAAGGGUGGUCAGAGAGGGGCUGACCUCUUGCUGUCUGCUGUGAACCAUGAAGUGCUGUGAGAGACCCUGGACUGGGAUCACAAGGUGUUUCCAGGCAUCCUGCAGCACCCACUGGGGACAAGGAAAGUACGGGUCCAGUGAGGCACUGAGGAGAGCAAGUCUCUGAUGCCAUAAGCAGCCCUGGGAUGCCUAUCCCAACCUGUGGGAAACAGGUGCCAUCAUCUUCCUCCCCAAGACACUGGGGAUGCCCUGCUUCCUCACAUCUGCACCAACGUGAAGAGACAGUGUAAAGAAACCAGCAGUUUCGGAGCAUAGCUCGUUUGACUUCCUGAGAUGUCUACCUUGGGGUGACCUCAUGUUUCUCUGGUGGGAAUAAGGUGAGAUGAGUGGGCUGGAGAACAUGUGUGACAGAAAUGUGGGCAGGAGGAUGGCACACUAGCAACAUGGGAGGCAGGAGUUCUCCAGCAGUCAUCCCGAGUUCACCUAGUCCCUGGCAUGCUUGGGCUCACUGCAGGGAGGAAAAGAGGAAAAACCUUUAUCAGGAUGGUUAAUUCUUCCCCAGAAAUCCCUGUGCUCCCGUUGCCUGCACUCCUUCUCUCAAAGAGAGCAACCCCGCACCGGUCAGCGCUCUUGGUGUGCUGCCGGGACACGUGAAUGCUGAAGGUGAGUGUGGCACAAGGCUCUGCUCAAACAUCUAAUGCCUCUUUGUGCUCGACUCCAAGCCCAGGAGAGGUCAGAAGCAUGGGGAACCUGGGAAGUUGGAAAGAGCUUGCUUCUCUGUCAGGAAAAUCUCAGCAAGAGCUUUUGAAUAUGAACAAUUACAGUUUGGACAGAGGAAGAAUGUGCAGAGGGCACCAGAAAUAGAACGUGGGACAGGGCCUGUUGCCCUGGGUUUUUUGCAGGGUGAUUUUGCACCCUUGUGUGAAGUUGUUCAGAGGCUGCAGUAUAUCUGUGGGCCAGGGGAAUGAUGUCCCUGAAUCACUGUCUUCUCAAGGGCCAGGAAAUACAAUGUGGAAAUAUACGGUGAAAAUAGUGCACCCGGUAGGACUUCUCUUAAUGAAUGGUGCAAAGGAGGAGUAAGUAAUCUGAUUUACCCAUCACAAUGUAUUUCAGCAUCCCUGCUUUUGUGCCUCUGAGGCAUGCAACUCGUCUCCCUCUUCUUCUUCUAGUGGUCAAGGUUUCUGAUGUCCUGGCUUUCCCUCUUGCUCCCAGCUGUUAUCCAAGUCCUUUGAUCAGCCUAGGCUGGCGUCGCCUCCUCCCUUCUUUCUCUGGGUUGUUACUUGGAUGAUACCUGCAGGCAGCAGAGAGGAGGCAUGCCUUCUCCCAGCCCUGUUCCUGAGCAGUGUAAGUUUAGCUCCUGUAGCUUCUCUUCACAGUCGUCUUGCUCCCUGGCCAUACUGAAUAUAUACCAUUUCUGUGCUGCCGCCUCUGAUUUCUACAGAGGAAGCCUUUGCCAGCAGUGGAUGCGUCUGAUUUUUCUCACUUUGCCGUGGCAGCUUUGGAGCUGUCGAGAUCCCUGGAGACUCAGCGAGUCUUCAAACAGUCAGAGGAGCUGAGAUCCAGUCUCUUGAGACAUCUGAGCACAGCGCAGCAUCAGCUUUUUGAUACAAUGCUAUCAAGACAUUUCUCUGUAUUUCUUUUUUUGCAAAUCAAUAGAACGGAGCUGGUUUCCCUCCUGCUGUUGUCGGGGGCUGUUGGAGAAGGAGGUGUUUUCAUUUUAGCUCUUGAGUCAAAGAAUAAAGUAGGAGGAGAAGGUGGGGGAGAGGAGACAGGAAAGAAAUAUCGGAGAGGACAAUAAGGGAGAACAUCUGCUCAUGGCUUUUCUGUUGGGCUGCUCCUCUCUGAGCCACGGGAGGAGGCGGUCAAAGGGCAGUUGCCCUGUGCUGGAAAGCAAAGGCCGAGUGGCUGGAGGUGAGUGAUAGUGAACAGGAGGUGAAUAGAGGGGGCAGAGGGGCUUCAGGGGGCUGGGACACACCGGGGGGCCCACUGGUGGCCUUUGCACCAACAGACAGCAGGACUUGGCAGGACAGGGCUGAAGGAGCCAGCUGGCUUUGCCGAGCCACCGACAAGACAACUUGACCCUUUGGCCUAUAAGUCGGUGUUGCAGGAGCUGAUUUCUUCCUUCCACCAGUGCAGGUGAGGUAUUGGCUUUUCCCCCCUCCCA